rnacentral:rRNA from 1 species
UACGGAGGGGGCAAGCGUUGUUCGGAAUUACUGGGCGUAAAGGGCGCGUAGGCGGAUAUCCAAGUCAGGGGUGAAAGGCCUGGGCUCAACCCGGGAACUGCCUUUGAAACUGGGUAUCUAGAGAUCGGAAGAGGAUGGCGGAAUUCCCAGUGUAGAGGUGAAAUUCGUAGAUAUUGGGAAGAACACCGGUGGCGAAGGCGGCCAUCUGGUCCGAUACUGACGCUGAGGCGCGAAAGCGUGGGGAGCAAACAGG